UGAGUACGAGCUGCUACGGCAGCGAAGUGGGUGAUGUCAUGCUUCCAAGAAAAGCCCUAUACCCGUUAAGGCAUGAUGGCCUGUACCCGAAACCGACACAGGUGGGGUGGUAGAGAAUACCGAGGGGCGCGAGGUAACUCUCUCUAAGGAACUCGGCAAAAUGGCCCCGUAACUUCGGGAGAAGGGGUGCCACCGCAAGGUGGUCGCAGUGAAGAGGCCCAGGCGACUGUUUACCAAAAACACAGGUCUCCGCUAAGUCGCAAGACGAUGUAUGGGGGCUGACGCCUGCCCAGUGCCGGAAGGUUAAGGAAGCUGGUCAGCGUAAGCGAAGCUAGCGACUGAAGCCCCGGUGAACGGCGGCCGUAACGAUAACGGUCCUAAGGUAGCGAAAUUCCUUGUCGGGUAAGUUCCGACCCGCACGAAAGGCGUAACGAUCUGGGCGCUGUCUCGGAGAGAGGCUCGGCGAAAUAGAAUUGUCUGUGAAGAUGCGGACUACGUGCACCCGGACAGAAAGACCCUAUGAAGCUUUACUGUAGCUUGGUAUUGUGCUCGGGCUCGGAAUGCGCAGGAUAGGUGGGAGGCUAUGAACCAUUGCUUGCGGGUGAUGGUGAGCCACUGGUGAGAUACCACUCUUUCCGAGCUAGAGUUCUAACAGCCACCCGUUAUCCGGGGGCUGGACAGUAUCAGGUGGGCAGUUUGACUGGGGCGGUCGCCUCCUAAAAGGUAACGGAGGCGCGCAAAGGUUUGCUCAGGCUGGUUGGAAAUCAGCCGACGAGUGUAAAAGCAGAAGCAAGCUUGACUGUGAGACCUACAAGUCGAACAGGGAGGAAACUCGGCUUUAGUGAUCCGACGGUUCUGCGUGGAAGGGCCGUCGCUCAACGGAUAAAAGUUGCUCUAAGGAUAACAGGCUGAUCUCCCCCAAGAGUUCACAUCGACGGGGAGGUUUGGCACCUCGAUGUCGGCUCAUCGCAACCUGGGGCUGAAGUCGGUCCCAAGGGUUGGGCUGUUCGCCCAUUAAAGCGGUACGCGAGCUGGGUUCAGAACGUCGUGAGACAGUUCGGUCCAUAUCCGGUGCAUGCGCAGGAAUAUUGAGAGGAUUUCUCCCUAGUACGAGAGGACCGGGAGGAACGCACCUCUGGUGUACCAGUUAUCGUGCCAACGGUAAACGCUGGGUAGCCAUGUGCGGAGAGGAUAACCGCUGAAAGCAUCUAAGUGGGAAGCCCACCUCAAGAUGAGUAUUCCCAUGGGGUAACCCAGUAAGGUCACGGGAAGAACACCCGUUGAUAGGCUCUACGUGGAAGCGCAGUAAUGUGUGAAGCGGAGGAGUACUAAUAGACCGAGGGCUUGAC
rnacentral:rRNA from 1 species